AUUGAACGCUGGCGGCAUGCUUUACACAUGCAAGUCGAACGGUAACAGGCCGCAAGGUGCUGACGAGUGGCGAACGGGUGAGUAAUGCAUCGGAACGUGCCCAGUUGUGGGGGAUAACUGCUCGAAAGAGCAGCUAAUACCGCAUACGACCUGAGGGUGAAAGCGGGGGAUCGCAAGACCUCGCGCAAUUGGAGCGGCCGAUAUCAGAUUAGGUAGUUGGUGGGGUAAAGGCCCACCAAGCCAACGAUCUGUAGCUGGUCUGAGAGGACGACCAGCCACACUGGGACUGAGCCACGGCCCAGACUCCUACGGGAGGCAGCAGUGGGGAAUUUUGGACAAUGGGCGCAAGCCUGAUUCAGCCAUGCCGCGUGCGGGAAGAAGGCCUUCGGGUUGUAAACCGCUUUUGUCAGGGAAGAAACGCUCUGGGUUAAUACCUCGGGGUAAUGACGGUACCUGAAGAAUAAGCACCGGCUAACUACGUGCCAGCCGCCGCGGUAAUAC
rnacentral:rRNA from 1 species